CAGUGGUGACUCUGUGCCUAGCAAAGUUCAGAUUUCAGAAGAACAAACGGCACAGAUGGAAACCAACCACUUGAAAGCACUAGAAAGGGCUGCAGCUCGUCCUCGUUCACAGUCACAAGCAUCUUGAAUUCUUCUAGUAGAGUGUAUUCGAAGCUCUCCACAGCAUUAACUUUGAAUGCCCAUUGCAGUCUAGUUGGUGUUGUUCGCUAAGCUUCUCCGCCUUAUGAUAAUGCCAGCCAUUUCUUUCUUUAUCUUCAGAUGGCCAGAGAGUGAGGAAGUGUUCUGCGGUUGGGUUUGCACUUAUGCAUAUCCUGUCAAGUAUAGCAAUAGCCCUAAUGUUCACUUGGCCAUGCUGUUGAGUCUCUGAUCCGGCUCUUCAUCCUGUGUGGCAAUACCAACCUGUUUUUGUCAACUUUUGAAUAGAUGGAACAUGGACUCAUCUUAUGAAUUGCAGAAGACACAGUCAUACAGAGGAUCAAUCAUUGGUGCUCUGACUCUGAUGAGCCAUGCCAUA